rnacentral:rRNA from 1 species
ACAAGUACCGUGAGGGAAAGUUGAAAAGCACUUUGAAGAGAGAGUUAAAGAGGACGUGAAACCGGUGAGAUGGAAACGGAUAGAGCUAGCGUAUCUAGCCUGCAUUCAACCGCCCGAGGAUAGCGCUCGUGUGCCGGCGACCCCAGAUUGGGACGGUUACGCAGGGCAAUGCUGGAUUUGGGUGGUGCAUUUGCAGGUGGAGUGCGCCGAGGCGUUCGGGGCAGCGGUGUGAGCUCAGCUUUGAGGCCAGCUUGCUGGUACCCGGGCUGGAGGAGCGCCGUUUGUUCUGGGCGUUCUUAAUGGGUGAGCAUGGCUUACGGGCUCGGGUGGGUGCCGAGCUGGGAGUCGGCGGCGGUCGCAUGCGACACGUGCUGCGCUACUAGUUCGGUCCUACACGAGCUCUCAUGCUUGCUCUCGGUGUAUAAGCUGGUCAUCUUUCCGACCCGUCUUGAAACACGGACCAAGGAGUUUAUCGUGUGCGCGAGUCAUUGGGCGUUAAAAACCCAAAGGCGCAAUGAAAGUGAAUGCCUCCGCAAGGAGCUGACGUGCGAUCCUGGGCAUCGCGGUGCCCGGGCGCAGCAUGGCCCCAUCCUGAUUGCUUGCAAUGGGGUGGCGGAAGAGCGUACGCGGUGAGACCCGAAAGAUGGUGAACUAUUCCUGAGCAGGAUGAAGCCAGAGGAAACUCUGGUGGAAGUCCGAAGCGAUUCUGACGUGCAAAUCGAUCGUCUGACUUGGGUAUAGGGGCGAAAGACUAAUCGAACCAUCUAGUAGCUGGUUCCUUCCGA